UACGAAGGGGGCGAGCGUUGUUCGGAUUUACUGGGCGUAAAGGGCGCGCAGGCGGCUUUGUUUGUCAGGCGUGAAAGCCCCGGGCUUAACCUGGGAACUGCGUUUGAUACGGCAGGGCUAGAGUUCGGGAGAGGAGAGUGGAAUUCCCAGUGUAGAGGUGAAAUUCGUAGAUAUUGGGAAGAACACCGGUGGCGAAGGCGGCUCUCUGGACCGAUACUGACGCUGAGGCGCGAAAGCUAGGGGAGCAAACGGG
rnacentral:rRNA from 1 species